GUGAACACAGUGUCGUCGCUGCCCUGUAGCAAAGCUGGCGCCGCCGUAGCCGGGGGAGCUCCGAGGCCGUCGACCUGCUCCGUAUUCUACCCUCCUCGUUGCUGGUCCAAGCGAAGCAGCGGUAAUGGCGUGCGGGCGCAGGCGUCGACGACGGAGACGACCGCAGCGCCGGCUGCGGAGGUGACUACUAAGGUGGAGAAGGUGUCGAAGAAGCAGGUGGAUGGCGUGGUGACGAACAAGUACAGGCCCAAGGAGCCGUACACGGGGCGGUGCCUCCUGAACACGAGGAUCACCGGCGACGACGCCCCCGGUGAGACGUGGCACAUGGUGUUCAGCACCGACGGCGAGAUCCCCUACCGCGAG
rnacentral:misc_RNA from 1 species